rnacentral:ncRNA from 2 species
CACCGAUAAAGGCAAACCUCUUGAAAAACAGGGACGCAAAACUACAGGGCCUUACUAAAUGAAUCAUUUAGCUGGCAGCCAGUUACCGAA